AUUGAACGCUGGCGGCAGGCCUAACACAUGCAAGUCGAGCGGAUGAAGGGAGCUUGCUCCUGGAUUCAGCGGCGGACGGGUGAGUAAUGCCUAGGAAUCUGCCUGGUAGUGGGGGAUAACGUCCGGAAACGGGCGCUAAUACCGCAUACGUCCUGAGGGAGAAAGUGGGGGAUCUUCGGACCUCACGCUAUCAGAUGAGCCUAGGUCGGAUUAGCUAGUUGGUGGGGUAAAGGCCUUCCAAGGCGACGAUCCGUAACUGGUCUGAGAGGAUGAUCAGUCACACUGGAACUGAGACACGGUCCAGACUCCUACGGGAGGCAGCAGUGGGGAAUAUUGGACAAUGGGCGAAAGCCUGAUCCAGCCAUGCCGCGUGUGUGAAGAAGGUCUUCGGAUUGUAAAGCACUUUAAGUUGGGAGGAAGGGCAGUAAGUUAAUACCUUGCUGUUUUGACGUUACCGACAGAAUAAGCACCGGCUAACUUCGUG
rnacentral:rRNA from 1 species